rnacentral:rRNA from 1 species
UACGUAGGGUGCGAGCGUUGUCCGGAAUUACUGGGCGUAAAGAGCUCGUAGGUGGUUUGUCGCGUUGUUCGUGAAAACUCACAGCUUAACUGUGGGCGUGCGGGCGAUACGGGCAGACUGGAGUACUGCAGGGGAGACUGGAAUUCCUGGUGUAGCGGUGGAAUGCGCAGAUAUCGGGAGGAACACCAGCGGCGAAGGCGGCACUCUGGGCUGGAACUGACGCUGAGGAGCGAAAGCGUGGGUAGCAAACAGG